UGCAGUAUGAAGAUAUUCUCAAUAGGUCUCUGCUCUAAGAACAUUACAUUCUAAAGGAACAGACGCCUCUCCAAGUGGCAAAUGCACAAUUGACAGCGUUCCAAGGAAGACUCAUCUGCUGCACAAAUGACACUCAGCAUUGACAAUCUUAAAUUACUCUCUAUUCAUUUCUAUGGUUUCAGUCUCAGGUUGUCUCUGUUAGCUUGAUUUCAGGGAUCCUGAGGGAAGUAAAUGCAAAAAGUCAAGGAAGGUGUCCCAGUGCCUUUUGGGACCUUAUAUGAAAACAAUCAAUUAUUUGAGUUCUGGGACAUUAACUCACAUUUAUACGUACUAAGAGAAACUUGCUACUUUAUCUGUUUGGAAUCAUUUUGAAGACAGAAGCUUUAGAAGGAAAAGAUCUUUUGGGGACGAAUUCACACGUUUGUUAACUGGAUUUUAUCAUGCCUAGAUAAAUCUUCCCAAGGAAGCAUUCCUGAAUCAGGCCUCAGGACUGCUCUGUGCAGGAAGAGUGAAGUCAACACCUUUGGUUGAAGGAGUUCGUCUACAGCACGGACCAUGCUUGGAGGAGGAAGGAUCAGUGAACUUGAAGUAACAUCUGCCUCAUCAUGAACUUUGGAAGUUUAGAUCAAAAGGGCCUAAAAAGGAAUGCUCAUGGAAUUCUGAUGAACAAGAGUUUUCUAAAAAUAUGUUCCCAAGUUCUUCCCUCUACAAGCAUUCACUGAAGAGUUGACCUCAUGCUGUUUCCCUGUGAAAGUGGAAUUUUAAAACAGCCAACCCCAAACAAACCUGUACUAAUCCCAGGGUGGCCAGCUUUACCCAUCGCUAAUGAAACCCAGGAGGGUCCCGAAGUGAAGUGUGACAAUUUGAGAGGCAGAGUGAAGAUCACAGAGAUACUCCCUUGGAUGGUAGAAUCAGGCUCUGCCAUACUCCUCAGAAUGGAUACAAAGAGUCAGAAUUAAGUCAGUCAUCAGACAGGGAUCAGAGGUGGACCUCCUCCAUGCCCACUUUUCCUUUCUGACUGGUUGAAAUCAAGAGCCUCAACCACACAUGAAAUGAUGAUGUCUUAGAGCUUUGUGAAGCCACA